rnacentral:rRNA from 1 species
AUUGAACGCUGGCGGCAGGCCUAACACAUGCAAGUCGAGCGAGCGGGGGAGGGGGAGGUAAUGUCUGGGAAACGGCCGGAUGGGGGGGGAUAACACCGGGAAAGGUAGGCAAAUACCGCAUACAACAAGAGGGGCCCAGAUGGGAUUAGCUAGUAGGUGGGGUAACGGCUCACCUAGGCGACGAUCCCUAGCUGGUCUGAGAGGAUGACCAGCAACACUGGAACUGAGACACGGUCCAGACUCCUACGGGAGGCAGCAGUGGGGAAUAUUGCACAAUGGGCGCAAGCCUGAUGCAGCCAUGCCGCGUGUGUGAAGAAGGCCUUCGGGUUGUAAAGCACUUUCAGCGGGGAGGCGUUACCCGCAGAAGAAGCACCGGCUAACUCCGUGCCAGCCGCCGCGGUAAUAC